GAUGAACGCUGGCGGCGUGCCUAAUACAUGCAAGUCGAGCGAACGGACGAUAAGCUUGCUUGGCGGAUGUUAGCCGAGGACGGGUGAGUAACACGUGUAUAACCUACCUAUAUUAGUGGGAUAACUUCGGGAAACCGGAUCUAACACGGUAUGAUAUUUUGAACCGUAUGGUGGGAAAGUGAGAUACGGUCGUUGUGGCUCUUAUAGAUGGAUCCGCGCUGUAUUAGAUAGUUGGGAAGGUAAAGGCUUAUCAAGGGAACGAUGCAUAGGCGAACUGAGGGGGUGAUAGGCCACAUUGGAAGUGGACCACCGUCCAGGCGACUACGGGAGGCAGCAGUAGGGAAUGUUCGGCAAUGGGCGAAAGCCUUACGGAGCAACGCCGAGUGAGUGAUGAAGGUCUUCGGUUCGUAAAACUCUGUUAUUAGGUAAGAACAUAUGUGUAAGUAACUGAGCACAUCUUGACGGUACCUAAUCAGAAAGCCACGGCUAACUACGUG
rnacentral:rRNA from 1 species